rnacentral:rRNA from 1 species
GAUGAACGCUGGCGGCGUGCCUAAUACAUGCAAGUCGAGCGAACGGACGAGAAGCUUGCUUUUCUGAUGUUAGCGGCGGACGGGUGAGUAACACGUGGAUAACCUACCUAUAAGACUGGGAUAACUUCGGGAAACCGGAGCUAAUACCGGAUAAUAUUUUGAACCGCAUGGUUAAAAAGUGAAAGACGGUCUUGCUGUCACUUAUAGAUGGAUCCGCGCUGCAUUAGCUAGUUGGUAAGGUAACGGCUUACCAAGGCAACGAUGCAUAGCCGACCUGAGAGGGUGAUCGGCCACACUGGAACUGAGACACGGUCCAGACUCCUACGGGAGGCAGCAGUAGGGAAUCUUCCGCAAAGGGCGAAAGCCUGACGGAGCAACGCCGCGUGAGUGAUGAAGGUCUUCGGAUCGUAAAACUCUGUUAUUAGGGAAGAACAUACGUGUAAGUAACUGUGCACAUCUUGACGGUACCUAAUCAGAAAGCCACGGCUAACUACGUG